CCUACGGGUGACAGCAGUGGGGAAUAUUCGGCAAUGGGCGCAAGCCUGACCCAGCAACGCCGCGUGAAGGAAUACGGCUUUCGGGUUGUAAACUUCUUUUGACAGGGAAGAGUAGAAUUCGGUACAUGUCGAAUAAGCCACGGCUAACUACGUGCCACCAGCCGCGGUAAUACGUAGGUGGCAAUCGUUGUCCGGAUUUACUGGGUGUAAAGAGCGUGUAGCCGGGUUGACAAGUCAGAUGUGAAAUCCUGCGGCUUAACCGCAGAACUGCAUGUGAAACUGUUGAUCUUGAGUACUGGAGAGGCAGAGGGAAUGUCUAGUGUAGCGGUGAAAUGCGUAGAUAUUAGGAGGAACACCAGUGGCGAAGGCGGUCUUCUGGACAGCAAAUGACGGUGAGGCGCGAAAGCGUGGGGAGCAAACAGGAUUAGAUACCCUUGUAGUC
rnacentral:rRNA from 1 species